UUAUUGUACUACGGCCACUUAUUGUAGGGGGAUAUUGGUUCGCAAACUGUCCACGCUUUCGGGUAUGGCUUUUGCACGCUCUACGAGUGUUCCCCUCUAUCAUGUGUCCUAGAUAGAUUUUCUUUGGCUCCGUUUAUGGAUACACGCUAGAUGUCCCUUUCGAGGGCGUCUCUGAGCAGUGAUUCUUACCGCCGGUUGCCACAUCU
rnacentral:snoRNA from 1 species